UUUUAUUUCUCCUGGGAGCUCUGCAAUACUAGACCCCGCCAAGGAAAGAAUUUCUAAAUUUGAGAGUUCUGCCACUAUCCUAAUGUAUCCUAAUAUACAACUAUUUAGAUUCAAUGAGCGAAGGCUUAUCAAGGGAUUGAGGGAGGGUACGAAAGGGAUGAAGGGCAUUUCAUAUACACUCAAAGUCAUCACUUCUCCCAUCCCAGAGAAAAAGUU
rnacentral:lncRNA from 1 species